rnacentral:rRNA from 1 species
UGACCCUACGGGGCGCAGCAGUGGGGAAUAUUGGACAAUGGGGGGAACCCUGAUCCAGCGACGCCGCGUGAGUGAAGAAGUAUUUCGGUAUGUAAAGCUCUAUCAGCAGGGAAGAAAGAAAUGACGGUACCUGACUAAGAAGCCCCGGCUAACUACGUGCCAGCAGCCGCGGUAAUACGUAGGGGGCAAGCGUUAUCCGGAUUUACUGGGUGUAAAGGGAGCGUAGACGGCGUUGCAAGUCUGAAGUGAAAGGCGGGGGCCCAACCCCCGGACUGCUCUGGAAACUGCCAGGCUGGAGUGCAGGA